rnacentral:rRNA from 1 species
UACGAAGGGGGCUAGCGUUGCUCGGAAUCACUGGGCGUAAAGCGCACGUAGGCGGAUUGCUAAGUCAGGGGUGAAAUCCUGGAGCUCAACUCCAGAACUGCCUUUGAUACUGGCGAUCUUGAGUCCGGGAGAGGUGAGUGGAACUGCGAGUGUAGAGGUGAAAUUCGUAGAUAUUCGCAAGAACACCAGUGGCGAAGGCGGCUCACUGGCCCGGUACUGACGCUGAGGUGCGAAAGCCAGGGGAGCGGAACGGG